AACCAUUAACCAAUUGACCAUUGAUGUUAUCUAGAUUUGACGGUUGAGAAUAUAUGCGGGUCUUUAAACACCUUGGUUCUGCAGUGAAAUUGCACCUCUCUAUCUCCUCCAUUGAAGCGUGCUCUAACUUCUCCAUUAAAGCUGCUUCCGAGCUUUAUUUCCCUUAUUUACUUCCACUUUGAAGCUUUUCACCGUUGCACCUCUCUCUCUCCUCCAUUGUAGCUACUCUGAGUUCUCCAUUGAAGUGACCCCUGAGCUUUUUCUCUCUCAUUGAAGCUGCUUCUGAGACUCAAAUUUUGUUCUAUUGAUGUUGAAGUUGAUGUAAUCAAUCAAUACUAUUUGAGCUUAUAGCCAAAGGAGGAACUGUCAAGGGUCUCAUCAAGGAAAAGAAUUUGGUCCAGAUUACAAAUCCAGCUGAGAUAGAGCAAAUGAUUGAUAAAGUGCUUGCAGAAAACCCAAAGCAAGUUGAACAAUAUCGUGGAGGCAAAACAAAGCUGCAAGGUUUCUUUGCUGGCCAGCACUUUGGAAUUCAGAAUGGAACAAAUAGAGUUGGGUAAAAGGAGGCGUCCGAUGCAUGAACAGACCGAAGGUGAAUUCGACGUGGAACAAGAAAUUAUUGGACCAAGUGGAAAUGGGAUUGUUCACAACACAAUUGAUUUACUUCCUGGACUAUUUCCGCCCCCUAAUAUGAACUGUCGGGUUGAGUCAUUUGGAAGAAUAUGCCAGAAAUUUGAUGAAAGGAGGACAAGAUGGGUAUGUGAGAUGGGAUUUGGUGGACUACUACAUUUGGCUUCCCAUAUGCAUCUUCCCCGACAGUUAGCUUACUGGAUAAUGACGCGUAUUGAUCCAAUUAAUAGGUGGUUAAUUGGUACAAAUGAUCAGUUGUUUCAGUUUUCUAAGAACCAAGUGCAUUGGAUUUUAGGAAUCCCCCUUGGGGGAAAAAAAGUUCCUACAAACAAGCAAUUGUUCGGGGAAGUUCGUUUGAAGGUGCAAACAAUAUUAUUAAAAUAUGGAAGAUCAUGGGACACCAAACCAACAAUGUGGUCGGACAUACACUUCAGUUGGCAUUCCUCUUACACUACAGAUGAUGGAUAGAUUGGAGGGACAUUUUGAGGCGCAUGAGGAAGAAGAAUUCAAAACGUUAUUCCUAAUCAUUGCCCUUCAAAUGAUAUUAUGCCCUAGACUGGCAUCUGACUUGUUACCGGCGUUGAGUUGUUCUAUGGAUUGCACAAACUAUGAUUGGUGUGAACUGGUUUUGUCAAAAUUCAUAGAGAGUGUGUCAAGUUUUGCACUGACGUUUUUAUGCAAAUGGGUUUGCCGGUGGAUGCGGUGGAUGUGCAAUAUUUGUUGUAAUAUUCUAUCUGGAUCGCCUUGAUUUGGGUCCUAAUGAAUGGGAUAUAUAUCCUCGAGUUAAGGCAUGGAGCAUGGCGCGCAUUGGAUAUGCAGGAAAGCUAGACCGAACUAUAUCUGGUGACUAUGGAAAAAUCGGGUUGAUAGAUGUUGCAUAUGGCGAAAGACACUCUAAGGUAGCUAGGGACACAUUUGGACCCCUGGAAUCUCCAAUGUAUAACGAUGUUUCUGAGCUUCUUGUCGGUAGAACUAGAGGUAGGCGUAGACGUCCGGACUUAUUUGCUUUACGAUGGGGUACGAAGCAAGUAUAUGAAGAUACUACCACCCCCCUAUACAAUGAAAAAUCCACCAGCACUGAUGGUGUGUUGAAAAUUCAGCAACCAGUUGAUUUAUAAUGAAACACUUUGGUUAACAUGUAGUACUAUUUAUGCACUUUUUAUCAUACAACUUAAUAUUGUACUUUCAUUUCAAUACAAUCAUUAAGACCUGGUAUUGUGAACUAUGAAAUCGUUGUGUGAGUUUUACAUAAACUGUGUUUGAAUGUCAUGGUUUUAAAGUGACCUUGCCAUUGGUUAUAGAUCAAAGGGGAGUGAGAUAGAGAUCAAUAUAUCUUAUGAUUAGCAAGAGUUUUGAGAGCAUGCACCAUGUACGUAAUGGUAAAUCUAAUUUAUAGCUAAAUAUUAUUUAUAUACCAGUUGAUCUGAAGAUUUAAAAAAAGUAAUGGAUUUUGUGACCAACUUUCCAUGUUGCAUAGAUGUCAAUCAUGUCAUCAGGACACUCAUAAAAGAACUUGCUUUGUACGCAUUUUUACUCUAGUUUUAUUUUAUUUUAUUUUAUUUAUUUAUUUUUAUUAUUUUAUUUAUUUUUUUGGGAUUAAAUGUGAUUAUUUUUAAAAACAACUUUAUAUACUCGUAAUUUCAUAAGAAGCUUCUUAAUAUUUAUAUUUCAUGUUAUUUUUCUGUACCACAAAUUUAUAGUUGUUAUUAAAAGAAUUAUUGAUUCGUAAUGUAGUGAAAAAAGGCAAAGGAAAAUCAGUAUUUAGUUGUCUCUUUAUUUGUAUUAUAGGACAUUUUUGUUAUUCCAGGAUGAAUUAAUGUAAUUAUUAAACCACACUCAAACACGUCUUCCGGAAACUGGACAUCAAGUUAGGUUUGAUAUACAUAGAGUCAUACAGAUAUGGAAAACAAAAUGGCUAUUCCGUAUAUGUCUUGUUUUUAUUUUAUUGUUUAUUACUUCCUCCGUUCUUUUUUACUUGAUUCGCUUUGACUU